CAGAGAUAUGAUGAUGUUUAUCCAUAUAUUCUGCAUUUCAAUGAUGCUCAAAAACAUGCACUACCAUAUGAUCUCUU